CAACAGAUAGAAAAAUAUAUUUAUAUAUCGUUACGCCUCCGAGAAAGAGCUGCCCAUUUGCGUUUCAAUCGCCGUUUAAGUGCUGCCCAGUUGUGAUUUCGCCUCUUAUAAUCAUUAACUUAUAACCACCAAGCUACCAUCAAUUACGAAUAACAAUUUGCAUUUUAAGUUUGGAAUAUACUUUUGUGAACAAAGGUUUUAUUUGCAGCAAAACUUUUUGUUCCCUGCUUUUAAAAAAAUAAUUUCCACAUAUACAGUAUAUACUGAAUUAGUGCCCAUAUUCAGUCCAGAGUUGUAAUUUAAAACAUCGAUAAAACAUCGAUGAUAAAACAGGCCACUUUUUCUUGUGUAAAACGUGACUCAAUUGGCUAUGUCAUCAUCAUCCGCACUCUGGUAUAUAAGUAAAUAAUAUGUUUUCGGGUUUUUUGAAUAAUAUAAUGAACACUAUUCGUAGUUAUGAGUUGUUAUAAACCGCAAGGCUAACACCGAAAGAUACUCCCCCCGUGCAACAAAAUAGAGGAAAAGCAAAGAGAAUAUCAAUGUCAAUGUUUGUCACGGGCCUAAUGAGAGAGGUUAGCCUCUUUAAUGCGAUUAAAAAAAUAGUUAUUUAGCCAGCUUUGGCGAUAGAAGUGAAUGGAAUGUGUCUGUUCUCUCGCAGUUGAUAAGAGGGAAAGGUAUCAAUAUAUAUAAAUGUAGCGAAUUUAUAGCUUUGGUUUACACUGGUUUUUGCACUUUCUUUGUUUUUUCUCUUACAUAUUACAUACCCGGUGCAAAGGUAACUCCAUUGUGAAACUAUUUAUGUAUAUAUUCCUUGACAGAUCUCUAGAAAUGGUCUGUUCAGGUACGUUUGCAACGUUCACGUUCACUAUUUAUGUAUGUAGAGUCAAUCAUUUGCAUAUCUCGUAUGCACUGCCAAUAUGUUUUAUAAAUUUCUUGUCCGACAAAUAUUUUAGUAAUAUUUUGAAAUUCUAGGGAAAGAAUGUAACUCUUGAAUGUGUUUUGGAUGACUCCAAUGAAACAGUGACACAGUGCCGAGAGGAAAAAAAAAUUUUGAGAAUAUUCUCUGGAUUUUUGUAAUAAUUUUUUUUCUUCUGGUUAGCCUAAGAUAAACAUAGCGAAGCCGAGAAAAUUUUGGAAUAGGAACUCACAUAACAAGGACGGAACAAAUCACUACAAAUCUAUAUACAAAAAAAUUCUACUUCAGUAUAUCUAAAAGCUACUAAAGUAUUCACAAAUAUGUAUCAAUACAAAAUUAUACGUUUUGGCACAAGACUAAUUUUCCUUACUUACAAAAGAUGAAAAUAAUACUUUUAUUGUUCAUUAUUUUGCUGGAUGCUGGGGAAGCAAAAGACCUUCAAUGGCCUGCUCGAUGUGGGUGCUCGAUUCAAGUCAUCGAUGGUUACGUGACUGCUGAUUGCUCAGAUCAGCCAAGUGUGGACUUUGAAUGUUUGGCAACGUGGAGGCCAAAUGCCCUGAAUCUCUCAGGAAAUGGCUUGCAAGAAGUCCCAUCAUCCCUGAAUGAAACAGGGUUUGAGAACGUAAUGCACCUCGAUUUGUCCAAUAACAAGAUUGAAAGACUCUCCAGCUGGAGCUUCGGAUCAAUGCUAGGCCUGAAAAGCAUAGACCUUAGCGGAAACAAGCUUACUGACCUGCCCAGAUCUGUUGCAAAAAUAGAUCUGGUUGAUGUGAGCCACAACAAUCUGACCGAUAUUCACAGCAUAAUUGGCCUUGUUAACACUCAGGCAAUAGUAAAAGGAAACCCAAUCAGGUGCAGCUGCCGCUCUCCGAUUGUGAAGAGGAUCCAUGAAACGGAAAGGAAUGUUAGUCUGGAUUGCAUAUUUGGCGACUCGGAAGUUCCACAGCCCCAACCAACGCAGUGCCGAGAUCAAAUUAUCGAAAAUGAACCACUUCUUGGUUCUUGGAAGUUGUGUAUAUUCUUGGUGAUAGGUACUUCAACAAUUGUUGUGGCUGUCGUUAUUUUGGGGUGCCGUAGUUUCAACGUUAACUGCGACUAGCUGUGCUAAUUUGAGAAGGAAGCCACGUCGGUGUGGUUUUGAGAGCAACGUGCUUACAUGUCAAAAUUUGAUAGCUGUUGAUCAUCAUGUAUCAUCAAUAUGUAUUAACCUAAGCAAUCGUCAGAUCUUUUGAUAUGCCUCUGAUAUCCUUGCUAUACACGGAGCAGAACGGCGCAGAAUUGUCCUAAACUAAAUGUCAUCAAGCAUCAUUGUUUGUUUUUCUGCUUUUGCCUGUUUUGUAAUCUCUCCCCGCUAAAGCUUGCGCUCUGGUUAGCUUUGACGCUCUUGAGUUUGAUCUCAACUUUCGGCUGCUGUUUCUGCCGGGCCGCGCUGAUGGAGCUGUUGCAGCUACGACAAACACACAAUAAAAAUUUAGCAUAUUUAAAGAACUAUUUCUUUAUUUAAACUA
rnacentral:sRNA from 15 species